rnacentral:misc_RNA from 1 species
UCACUACUUGCGUAGGCAGUUUCUUUAGAGUCCCCAGCAUGACCUGAUGGCAACUAAAGAUAGGGGUUGCGCUCGUUAUGGGACUUAACCCGACACCUCACGGCACGAGCUGACGACAACCAUGCAGCACCUUGUAAGAUGUCCCGAAGGAAAUUCCGCUUUCACGGAAGGUCAUCCUACAUUCAAGCCCAGGUAAGGUUCCUCGCGUAUCAUCGAAUUAAACCACAUGCUCCUCCGCUUGUGCGGGCCCCCGUCAAUUCCUUUGAGUUUCAACGUUGCCGCCGUACUCCCCAGGUGGAUCACUUAAUGCUUUCGCUUAGCCGCUGACUGUGUAUCGCCAACAGCGAGUGAUCAUCGUUUACAGCGUGGACUAC